rnacentral:sRNA from 1 species
UCUAUGAAGCAGAAGCACCCGCUUCUCACCUGACCGACUCGCGUUGGCUGGUCCGAAAUCCAUGAUAUGUAAUGGGAAUUGUUUCAUUAUGUGAUGGCAAUAGGGAUGUGGGUUCUUCGCGGGCUCACAUCUUUUUUUAUUGAG